GGUUGCAGUCUCGGCCUCGUGGCCUAGCACUGGUGUUGAGCAAUGUGCACUUCACUGGAGAGAAAGAACUGGAAUUUCGCUCUGGAGGGGAUGUGGACCACAGUACUCUAGUCACCCUCUUCAAGCUUUUGGGCUAUGACGUCCAUGUUCUAUGUGACCAGACUGCACAGGAAAUGCAAGAGAAACUGCAGAAUUUUGCACAGUUACCUGCACACCGAGUCACGGACUCCUGCAUCGUGGCACUCCUCUCGCAUGGUGUGGAGGGCGCCAUCUAUGGUGUGGAUGGGAAACUGCUCCAGCUACAAGAGGUUUUUCAGCUCUUUGACAACGCCAACUGCCCAAGCCUACAGAACAAACCAAAAAUGUUCUUCAUCCAGGCCUGCCGUGGAGGUGAGUGCCCUAGCAGACCAGCACCUGGGUGGUGGCUCCUGGGCGGCCUCCCACCAGCUCUCACUUUCCUGUUUGCUCCUCUCAGGUGCUAUUGGAUCCCUUGGGCACCUCCUUCUGUUCACUGCUGCCACCGCCUCUCUUGCUCUGUAAGUGUCUCCCAAUGCAUGGGGUGUGCUGGGACUUGGGCAGCCCAUGGCUCUCAGGCUGGUCAGCUCUCCGUGCACCACCAUAUCCUGUUCUCAGGUCUCUUAUCAGUGUCUUUGCCUUCCUUUCUGAGAACUCUUACUCUUUUCUGUGCUUCAUUAACUCUGGUGCCCUUUUUUUGGUUACUCAUUCCAGUUACGGAUUUUUGAUCUGUCUUUUUCCUGUCCUUCUUAUUUUAUCUCCUUUCUUUCACUCUUUGUCCUUUUCACUUGUACCAUGUACUUCCCUGUUUACCUACACUUCCAUGCUUGCCUCCUUUCUUCUUACCAUUCGUGGGUCAUGCAGGAUAGCAGAACAGAAUCCGUGUUGGCCUUUGACUCUUCCUUUUCUGUGAGCUGCUGCUGCCCCUCUUUCUCUCAUGCAGUCUGUUUUACUCCUUUAAGAGCCAGGACUGCAGGACAAGGAUUAAAAGACACAUAGGCGUGCUUCUCAUCCUGGAGGAAAAUAAUAGUAAUUAAGAGCCCUAACUUUGGAGUCAAAUUCUGACUUCACCAUUUACUAGUAACGUGAAGUUAAAGAAGUUAAAUGGCAUCCCUCCAUCUCAGUUUCCUCAAUAUAAAAUGAAAAUAGUCCUUGUACCUACUUCAUAAGGUGCUUGUGAUGGUUAAAUGAGAUUAUGCAUUUAAGGGCUUACAUAGCUCAGUACCUGGCUCACAGCACAUCCACAAAAUAUGCCAGCUGUAACUCUUAAAACACGAUCAGUGCCAUAAAGGGCUUAUAGUUUGCUUUAAAGGUCACUUUGUCCAAACAUUCAAAUAAUUACUUUUUUAAUCUCUCGUGUGGCCAAAUGUAAAUAGCUAAUAUUAUUGUCAUCCUGAUCUAGUAUUACCGCAGAAUAUAGUCUGCUAAGGCCCUGCAACAUGACUCAGACUACGGCAGUUACUACCGCAAAAGCAGAAGGAAAGGUGGCCUCUCUAAGGAGCAGACCAGUUACUCAGGAAAAUAAAGUAAAUAUAUAUGAAGUAGCUUAAGACUAGUUCACAGGCCUCAUGUAAGCAAAGGUGAAAUUAGCAAGGUACAAACUGUACUUAGGAAGGAGUAUGCAGUAAGAGUAGAUCAUUUUAAGUGAGGGUAGUUUAAAGAGAUUUUGUGGAUAAGAUAAGGCUUAAUUUGUACCCGGAGUAAUUUGAUUUACAUAGUUAUAGAGUAGUAUCUAGAGUCUGUCGUAGGAAAGAAACAAUACAAUAUGAUAAGCACACUGAGAUUCAGAGGGCAUGUUGUGUCUCCCCUCCUCCCAAACAAAUGCUCGGAUCUGAUCUUAAAACAGCAUCUGUGUGAGUAUGUGAGAUGUGGCUGGUCCCAGUGAAGUGGGUUCACCUCCUUACAAACCUUUAGUCAUAACUGAGAUUUUGGACAUCAGCAGGUAAAAGUAAGGAACAGCUGGGAGCUUAAGUAAGAAAUAAUGUGAUGAAUUGUUUUUCCAGCAAGGUUGCCGUGGAGGGGGCUGCACUAACGAAAGAGGUUAUGGGUCAGCAACUUUACUUUUCAUUCCCUGCUCUAUCCCCAGGCCCAGGGCACUGCCUGAUGCAUGGUAGCACUUAUAAAUGUUGAAUGAAUGGAUGAAAAUUAAUCUGGCUGAAAAACUGUAGGUAUUAUGUAAAAAACAAAUAUGAGGAUAUUGUGACAAAAGAACCAGUGGCAUUUAUUGAUUGAUGGAUCUGUGAUGUAAAGGUGAGAGAGGAAUUCUCCUUUCUCUUUAGCUUGGCCUGUUUCCUUUAGGCGUCUUUCUAACAAAACGACAUUAAAUUGUGAUUUUCUCCUCCUAUAUCCAGGUAUUUAAUACACUGUUGGAUCUGGAUAAGGAGUAAUUGCUCUUUUCUGGAGUAAUCUGGAUCUUUUGCUCUGUCUCUCUAACUUUUCUGAAAUUAAAUCCUUCAAGGAAUGACCAGUAGCCAAUUGUUCCAUUGAAAAUUUGAGUUCACCUGUCUUCCUGCUGUAUUUGGUUAAUAUAAUUAAUGUCUAGAAAAAGCUCCACCCCCCUGCCCCAGUCAGCUUCUAAACUGGAGUGUAAGCUCCAUGACGGCAGGAAUUUUCUCUUCACUCUAUCCCUAGGCCUUAAAGUAAGACAGUGCCCAACACAUGGCAGUUGCUUGACACAUUUUUAUUAAAUCUGUGCUUUGGUCCUUUUCCCCCCAAUUCUUGAAGCUUCCCUUCUUUCCUAGGCUCCCUCGACAUUGCAUGGAUCAGGAAGUACUGUAAAAGAGCAUACUCUUACUUUUGAUGUGUUGACCUGAGAGUCCUCCCCAUCUGUCUUUCCUACUGACAGCACCCCUGCCCACACCCAAAAUAAAACAACAUCAUCAAAAAUAAGAGUCUGUCUUGGGAUACAUAAGGCUUGUAUCAAGAGCAAGGAUCUGCUCAGGGUAUGUUGAGAAAUUACUGCUAAAAUUGAAUAAGGAUGAUCUUUUUAAAUUUUCUGGGAGAAAAUAGUCAAAUUCUCUUCAUUUUAAGUUUUUCCUCUUAAAAUUUUCAUAAGGCCAGGUGCAGUGACUCAUGCCUAUAAUCCCAACACUUUGGGAGGCCGAGGCAGAAGGAUCACUUGAGGCCAGGAGUUCAAGACAAGCCUGGUCAACGUAGCAAGACCCCAUCUCUAUUAAAAAAAGAAAAAAAAAAGAUUUAAAAAGUUAUUUUAAAAAAUAAAUUAAAAUUUUUUUUUCUUAAAUCUUGGAUGCUUGCUGUAAUUUAUCUUAUGAAGUUAAUAAACAUAGUGCUUCGAAGAUAUCAAAACCACCUUGGAAACAACUGAUCAUACUUAGUUUUAUUAUUUUUUUGAUACAUAGUUCGAGGUUGUAAUUUUUAUAUAGCAUACAUAUGGUAACCGUAUUUGUUAAUUACCUUGUUUUUUCUUGUUUAUGUAAUUAAAUAUAUCAAUAUUUUAUUAUGUAUUGCAAUAAAAAGCACUGUGACUCCCAGGCAUAUUGUUAAUUGAACAAGUGAGUUGUGGACUUAGAUGAUUUUCAGUUCCAUUUACAAGGAGUAUUUGAUUUGGCAUUUUCCCUGUCUUAUACAGAAUGGGAACUGCUCCAGCCGCAUAGAUGUGCAUGUGCUUGAGCGUGGUGCCCGGUGUGUAUGAGGCAUCCCCUGAGUAACAGAUGCAUGCUGAGAGAGUAAUAAUUUUUUUUUUUUUUUUUUUUUAGUUUAUCAGCCAUAGGUUGGAGGCAACAGCUGGAAAUGGCUCUUCCCCUUCAAGGUUGUAGGGAACGUGGGCUUGCCUGUGACAGGCCCAAGAGAGAUAGGAAGAAGUAACAUCAUUGUCCAUUGUGUCUGCCUUUGUUACAGAUGAGACUGAUCGUGGGGUUGACCAACAAGAUGGAAAGAACCACGCAGGAUCCCCUGGGUGCGAGGAGAGUGAUGCCGGUAAAGAAAAGUUGCCGAAGAUGAGACUGCCCACGCGCUCAGACAUGAUAUGCGGCUAUGCCUGCCUCAAAGGGACUGCCGCCAUGCGGAACACCAAACGAGGUUCCUGGUACAUCGAGGCUCUUGCUCAAGUGUUUUCUGAGCGGGCUUGUGAUAUGCACGUGGCCGACAUGCUGGUUAAGGUGAACGCACUUAUCAAGGAUCGGGAAGGUUAUGCUCCUGGCACAGAGUUCCACCGGUGCAAGGAGAUGUCUGAAUACUGCAGCACUCUGUGCCGCCACCUCUACCUGUUCCCAGGACACCCUCCCACAUGAUGUCACCUCCCCAUCAUCCACGCCAAGUGGAAGCCACUGGACCACAGGAGGUGUGAUAGAGCCUUUGAUCUUCAGGAUGCACGGUUUCUGUUCUGCCCCCUCAGGGAUGUGGGAAUCUCCCAGACUUGUUUCCUGUGCCCAUGAUCUCUGCCUUUGAGUGUGGGACUCCAGGCCAGCUCCUUUUCUGUGAAGCCCUUUGCCUGUAGAGCCAGCUUUGGUUGGACCUAUUGCCAGGAAUGUUUCAGCUACAGUUGAAGAGCCUCACAAGUGAAGUUGUAAACACAGUGUGGUUAUGGGGAGAGGGCAUAUAAGUUCCCCAUAUUUGUGUUCAGUUCCAGCUUUUGUAGAUGGCACUUUAGUGAUUGCUUUUAUUACAUUAGUUAAGAUGUCUGAGAGACCAUCUCCUAUCUUUUAUUUCAUUCAUAUCCUCCGCCCUUCUUGUCCUAGAGUGAGAGUUUGGAAGGUGUCCAAAUUUAACGUAGACAUUAUCUUUUGGCUCUGAAGAGGCAAACAUGACUAGAGACGCACCUUGCUGCAGUGUCCAGAAGCGGCCUGUGCGUUCCCUUCAGUACUGCAGGGCACCCAGUGGAAGGACACUCUUGGCUCGUUUGGGCUCAAGGCACCGCAGCCUGUCAGCCAACGUUGCCUUGCAUUUGUACCUUAUUGAUCUUUGCCCAUGGAAGUCUCAAAGAUCUUUCAUUGGUUGUUUCUCUGAGCUUUGUUACUGAAAUGAGCCUCGUGGGGAGCAUCAGAGAAGGCCAGGAAGAAUGGUGUGUUUCCCUAGACUCUGUAACCACCUCUCUGUCUUUUUCCUUCCUGAGAAACGUCCAUCUCUCUCCCUUACUAUUCCCACUUUCAUUCAAUCAACCUGCACUUCAUAUCUAGAUUUCUAGAAAAGCUUCCUAGCUUAUCUCCCUGCUUCAUAUCUCUCUCCUCUUUACCUUCAUUUCAUCCUGUUGGCUGCUGCCACCAAAUCUGUCUAGAAUCCUGCUUUACUGGAUCAUGUAAAUGCUCAAAGCUGUAAUGUAGUUCUUUGUUCCUGCUUUCUCCUUCAGUAUUAAACUCUCCUUUGAUAUUAUGUGGCUUUUAUUUCAGUGCCAUACGUGUUAUUUUUUUCAACCUAGAAACCUUUAUCCCUGCUUAUCUGAAACUUCCCAACUUCCCUGUUCUUUAAGACUUUUUUUUUUUUUUUUUUUUUUUGAGACGGAGUCUCGCCCUGUUGCCCAGGCUGGAGUGCAGUGGCGCUAUCGCGGCUCACUGCAACCUCUGCCUCCCAGGUUCAUGCCAUUCUCCUGCCUCAGCCUUCCAAGUAGCUGGGACUACAGGCGCCCGCCACUGUGCCCAGCUAAUUUUUUUGUAUUUUUAGUAGAGACAGGGUUUCACCAUGUUAGCCGGGAUGGUCUUGAUCUCCUGACCUCAUGAUCCACCCACCUCAGCCUCCCAAAGUGUUGGGAUUACAGGCGUGAGCCACUGCGCCCGGGCAAGACCUUUUUUU
rnacentral:sRNA from 1 species